AAACGGGCCCUUUUCAGGGCCACCAAAAUCAAUUGUGUUCUGUCU
rfam:Asian citrus Psyllid, Diaphorina citri - Florida Strain, whole genome shotgun sequence.